rnacentral:rRNA from 1 species
UACGUAGGGACCAAGCGUUGUUCGGAUUUACUGGGCGUAAAGGGCGCGUAGGCGGCAUAUUAAGUCAGCUGUGAAAUCUCCGAGCUUAACUAGGAACUGUCAGCUGAUACUGAUGUGCUAGAGUGCAGAAGGGGCAAUCGGAAUUCUUGGUGUAGCGGUGAAAUGCGUAGAUAUCAAGAGGAACACCUGAGGUGAAGACGGGUUGCUGGGCUGACACUGACGCUGAGGCGCGAAAGCCAGGGGAGCAAACGGG